GAGAAUAUAACUCAGUGGCAGAGCACAUGCUUAGCAUGCAUGAGGUCCUGGGUUCAAUCCCCAGUAUCUCCA
rnacentral:tRNA from 1 species